ACCAACGGCGGCCUUGGCGCCCUCCUCGGACCACAGGGAAGGGACACAAGCGCCCCGCUUCGAGGAUGGGCCUAACCCCAAGCGCUGCCCGGCCCGAAGCCGCGCUACUCACCAGUUCCCCUCAGGAACGCCUCGCCUGAGCAUCGCGGCGCAUCCUCCUGCGCUCCCCCGCCUCCCUCCUUCCCGCUGCUAUAGCUACGGGGAGCCAAGGCAACCGCCUCUCGCGAGAACUCGAAACGGGAGGGAAGCGCGAGACUGCCUCCCGGGCGGGGGUGCGGCUAGAAUAGAUCGAGAGAAGGAGUUGGUAUCGCGAGAACAACCCACGAGAGCAGCGAAAUUUAGGACUACAGAAGGUUACAGCGAACCGAGGAGGAGAAGGACGUCCUGCAGCACAUUUUUCUCUAGUUUUUCAAUGAAUAUCUCAUCGAGUCGCAACCAAUUCAACAUAGUUUGUGGCAGCCACAAAAACGGAAUUUCUGGAGUAGAACAACUACUUUGAAAGCAAUAUCGCACAAUUGAACAGGAAUAAGACUUUCAAACCAGGAACAGAAUUUGUUUUUCAACUUUUGUUACAUAGUGACAGUAAAAAUUAAAUGCGUAGAUAAGCAUGCCUCUUUUUCAAUGUUUUCAUUAAGUUUCAACAAAAAAACAUACGUUAUCAAAACGAACAAAGAAAAGGGACACGCUUUAAACCAGACAAACACAACAUAAUCCAAUUGCACAAUACAAAUAAAGACACUACAGUGUCUUCUCUAGACUUUCUUCCCUUUGGAUUAGAAGUUCUUCCUUAAUUGGCUUGCAUUCCAUUUGGUGAAAAGAAAACUUGAAUACUCAAUUUUUUAUUUUUUUUUCACGGAGACGACUAAAACACUCCUCUAACUGGAGAAACUGCAGAGCACUGGGCAUCUGCUUCCACAUGUAUUAGGAGUGUCCCAAUGCUUCUGGGUUUGAGGAAAUGAUUUCUAAGAAUAAGUUGAAUUACAAACGAAGAAGUUCCUUUAGACCUCCCAAUAAGACUUCUCUUCUUAUUUUGUGACAACAUGAGGCAUAAAGAUCUAAUUAUCUAUUUUUGUUUUGCUGCAAGAUUGAUAAUACAAGGUGUUUCCAAAAGAUGGACUCAAUUUAAAAUUGCAGUGUUCCAGCAGAACUCCACACCACAGUCACCAUCAUCCCAUCCUGCACAAAAAAACAAAGUCCAGGAUGUGUCCAGUGGCAUAAGUAGGACCAGACACCACUUGGGAUAGACUUAUGGGUGUCAUGGAGGCCUUGAGGUUGCAGUGAUCUAUCAUGGAAUCAUCAUAGGCCCCUUCCACACAGCUGAAUAAAAUCCUACAUUUUCUGCUUUGAGCUGGAAUAUAUGGCAGUGUGGAGUCAAAUAACCGAGUUCAAAGCAGAUAUUGUGAGAUUUUCUGCCUUGAUAUUCUGGGUUAUAUGGCUGUGUGGAAGGACCCAUAGAUCACUGCAGCUCCAACUCCCCACUUCCCCAGGUUUCGCCUGCUGUUAUAAAGGAAAACAUCGCAGGCAAAGCUGAGGAAGAUUUAAGUAUGCAUGUUGACUAUCUAAAAUCAUUUCAAAUCUCACCCAACCAAGUUUUUGUAAUACAAGCUGGGUCAGCAUGUUCAUCUUGUAUAGUUGUUUCCAUUUUUGUAAUUCAAAAAUCUCAUUUGUUCUUUAAUUUUUUCCAAAGGAUUGUUUUAAAGUAUCUCAUCUUACUUUGCCUCAGUAGAAUUCAUAUGUAGAUGAAAGACAUUUAGUGACACCUGUGAAUGUGGCAGAGUAGUAUCCUUAACUUAUCCCAGAACCUACAAAAAGUGUAUCACACCCCAGAGAUUGUAACAUACCUUUCUCAUCUUUGAGGGAAUUCCAGAAUGAUAUGUUGGUUUCAGAAAUGUCAAAAAUGUAUUUGAAAAAGAGCAUUUAAUUCAGUGCUUCAGUGAGAGGUACAUUUGAAAUACUAGCAUUAAAAAGACUAGUGAUUUGGAUUAAACUAGGUUUUUGUUUGGUUUGGUUUUACUUUGAAUUAGGAAAAAACGGGAGCUUGGUAGUGAGUGAGGUACGGUCACUUUUAUGCUAUUUAGUUUGUGUAUACAUGCAUAUGCCUGUUUUCAAGUCUCCAACCCCAUGAGUUCAUAGAAUUUUCAUAGGCAAGGAAUACUCAGAAGUGGUGUCGAAGGCUUUCAUGGUCGGGAUCACAGGGUUGUUGUAUGUCUUUCGGGCUGUAUGGCCAUGUUCCAGCCUGAAAGACAUACAACAACUCAGAAGUGGCUUUGCCAGUUCUUUCUUCUGGAAUAUCACUUUCAGCACCUGGUGUUCAUUGUUGGUCUCCCAUGCAUGCACUAGCUAGAACUGAACCUGCUUAGCCUCCAAGAUCAAACAUUAUCUGGUACCUCAUGUAUUCAUGGAUUUAACUAUCCACAGCUAGACAUCAUAGACUUUCCACAGAUAUACCUAUAAACCCCACUUGCUUAGUUUCCAACAGACCUCACAACCUCUGAGAAUGUCUGUCAUAGAUGCAGGCGAAACAUCAGGAGAAAAUGCUUCUGGAGCAUGGCCAUACAGCCCAAAAAACUCACAGCAACCAUUCCAGAUAAUAAUAAUAAUAAUAAUAAUAAUAAUAAUAAUAAUAAUAUCAGCAGAUGACCCAAAAUGCAGACUGUGCAAAGAAGCCGAUGAAACCAUUGAUCAUAUCCUCAGCUGCUGUAAGAAAAUUGCACAGACUGACUACAAACAGAGACACAACUUUGUGGCCCAAAUGAUUCAUUGGAACUUAUGCCUCAAGUACCACCUCCCAGCAGUAAAGAACUGGUGGGAUCACAAACCUGCAAAGGUAAUGGAAAAUGAACAUGUGGGACUUUCGAAUCCAGACUGACACAGUUCUGGAACACAACACACCAGACAUCACAGUUGUGGAAAAGAAAAACGCUUGUAUUAUUGAUGUCGCCAUACCAGGUGACAGUCAAAUUGAUGAAAAACAACAGGAAAAAUUCAGCCGCUAUCAGGACCUCAAGAUCGAACUUCAAAGGCUCUGGCAGAAACCAGUACAGGUGUUCCCGGUGGUGAUUGGCACACUGGAUGCUAUGCCAAAAGAUCUCAGCAGGCAUUUGGAAACAAUAGACAUUGACAAAAUUACAAUCUGCCAACUGCAAAAUGCCACCCUACUGGGAUCUGCGCGCAUCAUCUGAUAAUACAUCACACCAUCCUAAACACUUGGGAAGUGUUCGACUUGUGAUUUUGUGAUACGAAAUCCAGCAUAUCUAUCUUGUUUGCUGUGUCAUACUAUGUUGUGUCAAUAAAUAAUAAUAAUAAUAAUAAUAAUAAUAAUAAUACGAAAUCCAGGAUAUAUAUCUCGUUUGCUGUGUCAUACUCUGUCUUUUCGUCAAUAAUAAUAAUAAUAGCAACAA